rnacentral:lncRNA from 1 species
GAGAAGUCAACAAAGAAAAAAGAAAAAGAAACAGAAAAGAACUAGGAAAAAAAAGAAACAGAGAAACAGAGUCGUAAACUAACAGAGAAGGUAACAUAGAAACAGAGUAACAAACUAACAAAGAAGUCAAGAAACAGAGAAGAAGAAAAGCAGAGAGAGAAGGUCAAGGCAAAGUAAGAAGAAGAACAACCAGUGUGAGAGUCGUUGGAGCUGCGAUCAAGUCGUCGGAGCUGCGAUGGGCAGAAGAAGUCUCGAUAGAGUCUCACGAUAGGUCGAAAAUGCGAAUCUGUCUCCUUUUAUCUGCAGAAAAAGGUUUUCUUUUAAUCAAUUUUAGCCUUUCUCCUUCUCUUUUAUUU